GACGAACGCUGGCGGCGUGCUUAACACAUGCAAGUCGAGCGGUAAGGCCCUUUCGGGGGUACGACGAGCGGCGAACGGGUGAGUAACACGUGGGUGACCUGCCCUCAGCUCUGGGAUAAGCCUGGGAAACCGGGUCUAAUACCGGAUAUGACUCCAUGACGCAUGUUGUGGGGUGGAAAGCCUUGUGCGGCUGAGGAUGGGCCCGCGGCCUAUCAGCUUGUUGGUGGGGUGAUGGCCUACCAAGGCGACGACGGGUAGCCGGCCUGAGAGGGCGACCGGCCACACUGGGACUGAGACACGGCCCAGACUCCUACGGGAGGCAGCAGUGGGGAAUCUUGCGCAAUGGGCGAAAGCCUGACGCAGCGACGCCGCGUGAGGGAUGACGGCCUCGGUGUAACU
rnacentral:rRNA from 1 species